rnacentral:rRNA from 1 species
UUACUAGGAUUAGAUACCCUAUUAUACAUUUAUUAAAAUAUUUUAUAUCAGACUAUUUUUAGUUAUGUUCUUAAAAAUCAAAGAACUUGGCGGUGUUUUAGUCCUGUUAGAGGAACCUGUUUUAUAAGUGAUAAUCCACGUAGUAUCUUGCUUAAUUUUGUUUACAGUUUGUAUACCGUCAUUAUUAGAUAAUUCUUAUAGGAUAAAUAAUUGAAAUAGAUAGACGGUUCUAGUAUAUUAGAUCAAGGUGCAGCUAAUAGUUAAGUAAAAAUGGGUUACAUUAUUAUAGAAUUAUAUGGAUUAAUUUCUGAAUAGUAAUUAUGAAGGUGGAUUUAAUUGUAAUUUCUUUUUAAUAUGUUAAAAUGAUAGUGGCUCUAAAUCAUGUACAUAUCGCC